rnacentral:rRNA from 1 species
ACGGCAGCGCGGGGCAACCUGGCGGCGAGUGGCGAACGGCUGAGUAAUAUAUCGGAACGUACCCUGGAGUGGGGGAUAACGUAGCGAAAGUUACGCUAAUACCGCAUACGAUCUAAGGAUGAAAGUGGGGGAUCGCAAGACCUCAUGCUCCUGGAGCGGCCGAUAUCUGAUUAGCUAGUUGGCGGGGUAAAAGCCCACCAAGGCAACGAUCAGUAGCUGGUCUGAGAGGACGACCAGCCACACUGGAACUGAGACACGGUCCAGACUCCUACGGGAGGCAGCAGUGGGGAAUUUUGGACAAUGGGCGCAAGCCUGAUCCAGCAAUGCCGCGUGAGUGAAGAAGGCCUUCGGGUUGUAAAGCUCUUUUGUCAGGGAAGAAACGGUGGGGGCUAAUAUCCUCCGCUAAUGACGGUACCUGAAGAAUAAGCACCGGCUAACUACGUGCCAGCAGCCGCGGUAAUACGUAGGGUGCAAGCGUUAAUCGGAAUUACUGGGCGUAAAGCGUGCGCAGGCGGUUUUGUAAGUCUGUCGUGAAAUCCCCGGGCUCAACCUGGGAAUUGCGAUGGAGACUGCAAGGCUAGAGUUUGGCAGAGGGGGGUAGAAUUCCACGUGUAGCAGUGAAAUGCGUAGAUAUGUGGAGGAACACCGAUGGCGAAGGCAGCCCCCUGGGUCAAAACUGACGCUCAUGCACGAAAGCGUGGGGAGCAAACAGGAUUAGAUACCCUGGUAGUCCACGCCCUAAACGAUGUCUACUAGUUGUCGGGUCUUAAUUGACUUGGUAACGCAGCUAACGCGUGAA